rnacentral:misc_RNA from 1 species
AUUUCGCAGCAGCGGCCUCACGUCACGCAACACAUCGGAUCGCGAUGUUUACGCCCUCGGCGCGGCGCGACAUACCGACCGGCAUCAUGGCGUUGUUCACCGGCUAUCUGGUGAAACCGCUGCGCGCGACGUCAUUGGCCGCGCGGCUCUCGGCAUCCGGUGCAGCGCUGGUGCCGGACCUGCCCGGUGACAACGAGCCUG